GACGAACGCUGGCGGCGUGCCUAAUACAUGCAAGUCGAGCGGACCAAUAGAAAAGCUUGCUUUUCUUGAGGUUAGCGGCGGACGGGUGAGUAACACGUGGGCAACCUACCUGUAAGACUGGGAUAACUUACGGAAACGUGAGCUAAUACCGGAUAGUUUCACUUCUCGCAUGAGAAGUGAAGGAAAGAUGGCUUUUAGCUAUCACUUACAGAUGGGCCCGCGGCGCAUUAGCUAGUUGGUGGGGUAAAGGCCUACCAAGGCAACGAUGCGUAGCCGACCUGAGAGGGUGAUCGGCCACACUGGGACUGAGACACGGCCCAGACUCCUACGGGAGGCAGCAGUAGGGAAUCUUCCGCAAUGGACGAAAGUCUGACGGAGCAACGCCGCGUGAGCGAAGAAGGUCUUCGGAUCGUAAAGCUCUGUUGUUAGGGAAGAACAAGUACCGGAGUAACUGUCGGUACCUUGACGGUACCUAACCAGAAAGCCACGGCUAAU
rnacentral:rRNA from 1 species